GCUUAACGCGAAGAACCUUACCAGGGCUUGACAUCCCGCUGACCGGUGUAGAGAUAUGCCUUUCCCCUUCGGGGGACAGCGGUGACAGGUGGUGCAUGGUUGUCGUCAGCUCGUGUCGUGAGAUGUUGGGUUCAGUCCCGCAACGAGCGCAACCCCUAUUUCUAGUUGCCAGCAUUUCGGAUGGGCACUCUAGAGAGACAGCCGGUGAAAGCCGGAGGAAGGUGGGGAUGACGUCAAAUCAUCAUGCCCCUUAUGUCCUGGGCCACACACGUGCUACAAUGGCUGGCACAAAGGGUAGCCAACCCGCGAGGGGAGCCAAUCCCAGAAAGCCAGUCUCAGUUCGGAUUGCAGGCUGCAACUCGCCUGCAUGAAGUCGGAAUCGCUAGUAAUCGCGGAUCAGCAUGCCGCGGUGAAUACG
rnacentral:rRNA from 1 species